rnacentral:lncRNA from 1 species
AUGGGAAUGCCUGGUCUGGGAGCUGGAGCAUAUCCCACUUUGUCUGCAGCCAUUGGAAGCCACCAUGCACUGCUGCAGAGCAGGGAGACUCCUCCAGCAGUGCCAAGCUUUUGUAGGCAGUUUUGCAAUGUACACCACGAUCAUUGGUAUGCUGUGCAUACCCCCAAUGAGCCCAAAAUGCAGACAAGGCAGCCCGCAGCAGCAGGGGCUGUUCAACUCUGCUGUGGGGGCCAAGUGGUGGCUGCAGCCCAUACGUAUGCAUCCUCCACUUGCUGCUUUCAUAGAUCCAAAAUGAAUCAAACAGCAGUGAUCUUGAUAGAGAUACAAGUCUGCAGCUGUAAUUUACAAGUUCAUUAACAGUGUCCCUGCAAAGAUCUUUUUUUUUUUUUAAAUUGGAGCCCUAAUUAGCAAUGAAUUCUCAUUAUUUUUCCUUGAAAUACCAAAGCAGCUUUGGCACAUUCUCUUUGUUCUUUUGAAAACUGAGAAGUGGAGAAGCUUAGGAGAGAUAAAGAAGCAGCAGAUUAUAAACUGGGGUGUGUGGGGGGUGUUCCCCUCAAGCUAUUCCUUCAUUUUAAUACCUUUUGCAGCAAUUUUGCUUAAUAUUUAUUACGUGACAAAGUAAGUAUUUCCAUAAAGAAACAUUAACUUCAUCAUGGUUGAAUGCCACUAUCUGUCUGUCCCAGAGCGAUGUGCCACUUGAGUACCGCACACCUUGGAAGGAGCCCAGGUUCCUUUCUCGCUUGGGCAAAGACUCCAUUGCUUCAAGAGGAAUUUCGCAAGGGCACAAAUCCAAACAGCAGCCACGAGAAAAGCUCACAGUCAGCCCAAGAAGGAGGAAGCAGCCCCCAAAUGGCAGUGUGGUGGCUCUCCAUGAGGCAACAUUAAUCAGAGAGGCUUGCCAAGCCCUUCAUUAGCACGAACAUGCCGGGCCUGGUGGGAGCAUCUGGCACCUAGAACUGCUCUGGGCCCCUGGAUGCUGCUGGGUAUCGCAGAAGGACUGGGGGCCACACAGGCAGCACCCACCCCACCUACCACAGUGCUCUGGGAGCAGCAAUGGCCUGGUGGCACCUGUGGCACCACUGUGCUGGAGGGGUGCAGCCAUUCAACUGCACCAGCACCCAAAGCGGAAGUGCUGUAGGAAAUGCUUUGUGCUCUUGGUAGAUUUUGAGGAUUUUUUUUUUUUCCAGAGGGAAGUAUAGUCAUCACACAUUGUUUCCACAGUCCUUCUACAAUUUUGAUAAUAAAGGACCUCCUGUGACAUUAAGUACA